GCACAAGCGGUGGAGCAUGUGGCUUAAUUCGACGCAACGCGAAGAACCUUACCAAGGCUUGACAUACACCGGAAAGCAUUAGAGAUAGUGCCCCCCUUGUGGUCGGUGUACAGGUGGUGCAUGGCUGUCGUCAGCUCGUGUCGUGAGAUGUUGGGUUAAGUCCCGCAACGAGCGCAACCCUUGUUCUGUGUUGCCAGCAUGCCCUUCGGGGUGAUGGGGACUCACAGAAGACCGCCGGGGUCAACUCGGAGGAAGGUGGGGACGACGUCAAGUCAUCAUGCCCCUUAUGUCUUGGGCUGCACACGUGCUACAAUGGCCGGUACAAUGAGCUGCAAUACCGUGAGGUGGAGCGAAUCUCAAAAAGCCGGUCUCAGUUCGGAUUGGGGUCUGCAACUCGACCCCAUGAAGUCGGAGUCGCUAGUAAUCGCAGAUCAGCAUUGCUGCGGUGAAUACGUUCCCGGGC
rnacentral:rRNA from 1 species